rnacentral:rRNA from 1 species
UACACUCCUACGGGAGGCAGCAGUGGGGAAUAUUGCACAAUGGGCGCAAGCCUGAUGCAGCCAUGCCGCGUGUAUGAAGAAGGCCUUCGGGUUGUAAAGUACUUUCAGCGGGGAGGAAGGCGAUAAGGUUAAUAACCUUGUCGAUUGACGUUACCCGCAGAAGAAGCACCGGCUAACUCCGUGCCAGCAGCCGCGGUAAUACGGAGGGUGCAAGCGUUAAUCGGAAUUACUGGGCGUAAAGCGCACGCAGGCGGUCUGUCAAGUCGGAUGUGAAAUCCCCGGGCUCAACCUGGGAACUGCAUUCGAAACUGGCAGGCUAGAGUCUUGUAGAGGGGGGUAGAAUUCCAGGUGUAGCGGUGAAAUGCGUAGAGAUCUGGAGGAAUACCGGUGGCGAAGGCGGCCCCCUGGACAAAGACUGACGCUCAGGUGCGAAAGCGUGGGGAGCAAACAGGAUUAGAAACCCCAGUAGUCCCAUGAU